rnacentral:lncRNA from 1 species
GUCAAGGCUGGGUGGGCGGUUUUAGAUAAAGAAACAUCAAUUUGACGUUAUGCGUCGCAACUAGAAUAUUAGACUUGCUCCAAGUCUCUCUUUCAUUGUCAUAUAGCGUUGAUCCACUAUAGUGUACAUUACAUGACGUAGCACGGAGAGGCGGAGCGAGAAAGAGAGACUUGUCAACUUCGGAAAAUCUCGGUUCAAAACUGAACCGAAAAUACAAGACUUGCUUUAAUUGUUUUCCUUCAAUUUCUUUCUGUAUUAUUUACUAUAAUGGAACUCGUGUUAUUUUAUACACUGUGCUAGAUCAAUAUGGCUAUUAUGUGCCAAAUUAGUAUGUAAAAAAUGUCAAUAUGGCAGCCAAAAAUUA